rnacentral:rRNA from 1 species
UACGUAGGGGGCAAGCGUUGUCCGGAUUUAUUGGGCGUAAAGAGCGUGUAGGCGGCCAGGCAGGUCCGUUGUGAAAACUCGAGGCUCAACCUCGAGACGUCGAUGGAAACCGUCUGGCUAGAGUCCGGAAGAGGCGAGUGGAAUUCCUGGUGUAGCGGUGGAAUGCGCAGAUAUCAGGAGGAACACCAAUAGCGAAGGCAGCUCGCUGGGACGUUACUGACACUGAGGCGCGAAAGCGUGGGGAGCGAACAGG